GGCGAGUGAAGCGGCAAAAGCUCAAAUUUGAAAUCUGGCUCUUUCAGAGUCCGAGUUGUAAUUUGAAGAAGGUAUCUUUGGGUCUGGCUYUUGUCUAUGUUUCUUGGAACAGAACGUCACAGAGGGUGAGAAUCCCGUGCGAUGAGAUGAUCCAGGCCUAUGUAAAGUUCCUUCGAAGAGUCGAGUUGUUUGGGAAUGCAGCUCUAAGUGGGUGGUAAAUUCCAUCUAAAGCUAAAUAUUGGCGAGAGACCGAUAGCGAACAAGUACAGUGAUGGAAAGAUGAAAAGAACUUUGAAAAGAGAGUGAAAAAGUACGUGAAAUUGUUGAAAGGGAAGGGCUUGAGAUCAGACUUGGUAUUUUGUAUGUUACUUCUUCGGGGGUGGCCUCUACAGUUUAUCGGGCCAGCAUCAGUUUGGGCGGUAGGAGAAUUGCGUUGGAAUGUGGCACGGCUUCGGUUGUGUGUUAUAGCCUUCGUCGAUACUGCCAGCCUAGACUGAGGACUGCGGUUUAUACCUAGGAUGUUGGCAUAAUGAUCUUAAGUCGCCCGUCUUGA
rnacentral:rRNA from 1 species